AUUGAACGCUGGCGGCAGGCCUAACACAUGCAAGUCGAGCGGAUGAAGGGAGCUUGCUCCUGGAUUCAGCGGCGGACGGGUGAGUAAUGCCUAGGAAUCUGCCUGGUAGUGGGGAUUACGAUCCGGAAGGGGCGCCAAAACCCCUACCGGCCUUGAGGGGGAACUGGGGGGAUCUUGGGACAUACCCCUUCCUGCUGACCCUAGUCCGGAUUAGCUAGUUGGUGGGGUAAAGGCCUACCAAGGCGACGAACCGUAACUGGUCUGAGAGGAUGAUCAGUCACACUGGAACUGAGACACGGUCCAGACUCCUACGGGAGGCAGCAGUGGGGAAUAUUGGACAAUGGGCGAAAGCCUGAUCCAGCCAUGCCGCGUGUGUGAAGAAGGUCUUCGGAUUGUAAAGCACUUUAAGUUGGGAGGAAGGGCAGUAAGUUAAUACCUUGCUGUUUUGACGUUACCAACAGAAUAAGCACCGGCUAACUUCGUG
rnacentral:rRNA from 1 species